UACGUAGGCAGCAAGCGUUGUUCGGAAUUACUGGGCGUAAAGAGUGUGUAGGCGGUGCUCCAAGUCUGGUGUGAAAUCUCCCGGCUCAACUGGGAGGGUGCGCUAGAAACUGGAAUGCUAGAGGAUGGGAGAGGUAAGCGGAAUUCCUGGUGUAGCGGUGAAAUGCGUAGAUAUCUGGAGGAACACCGGUGGCGAAGGCGGCAUCCUGGACCGGUAUUGACGCUGAGGCGCGAAAGCCAGGGGAGCAAACGGG
rnacentral:rRNA from 1 species